rnacentral:rRNA from 1 species
UACGAAGGGGGCGAGCGUUGUUCGGAAUCACUGGGCGUAAAGGGCGCGUAGGCGGCGGACCAAGUCGAGUGUGAAAGCCCCGGGCUCAACCUGGGAGGUGCGCUCGCGACUGGUUUGCUGGAGUUCGGGAGAGGAGCGUGGAAUUCCCAGUGUAGAGGUGAAAUUCGUAGAUAUUGGGAAGAACACCGGUGGCGAAGGCGGCGCUCUGGACCGAGACUGACGCUGAGGCGCGAAAGCGUGGGGAGCAAACAGG